rnacentral:rRNA from 1 species
CGGAGGAUCCAAGCGUUAUCCGGAAUCAUUGGGUUUAAAGGGUCCGUAGGCGGGUUUAUAAGUCAGCGGUGAAAGCCCAUCGCUCAACGAUGGAACGGCCAUUGAUACUGUAGAUCUUGAAUUAUUAGGAAGUAACUAGAAUAUGUAGUGUAGCGGUGAAAUGCUUAGAGAUUACAUGGAAUACCAAUUGCGAAGGCAGGUUACUACUAAUGGAUUGACGCUGAUGGACGAAAGCGUGGGUAGCGAACAGGAUUAGAUACCCUGGUAGUCCACGCCGUAAACGAUGGAUACUAGCUGUUCGGAGCAAUCUGAGUGGCUAAGCGAAAGUGAUAAGUAUCCCACCUGGGGAGUACGUUCGCAAGAAUG